UGUCCUUAAUAUUGUAAUUUUCUCUUAACUAGGGCUGUUUAAUGAAGAAACCAUGUAACAUCUUGUACCCCUUCAUUUUACAAACACCGAUCUUGGAGGGGACUGAUUUAUUUAAUGAAUGUGCUGUCUUCUGUGCUGUGGUGUCUUAUGAAAUGCAAUCAGUUGGUAUAAUUCUUCACAAACCAGCAGGCAUU